UGGGGAAUUUUGGACAAUGGGCGCAAGCCUGAUCCAGCCAUGCCGCGUGCAGGAAGAAGCAUCUAUGGUGUGUAAACUGCUUUUGUACGGGAAGAAACACUCCUUCGUGAAGGAGCUUGACGGUACCGUAAGAAUAAGGAUCGGCUAACUCCGUGCCAGCAGCCGAGGUAAUACGGAGGAUCCAAGCGUUAUCCGGAAUCAUUGGGUUUAAAGGGUCCGUAGGCGGUUUAGUAAGUCAGUGGUGAGAGCCCAUCGCUCAACGAUGGAACGGCCAUUGAUACUGCUAGACUUGAAUUAUUAGGAAGUAACUAGAAUAUGUAGUGUAGCGGUGAAAUGCUUAGAUAUUACAUGGAAUACCAAUUGCGAAGGCAGCUUACUAUGGUUUUAUUGACGCCGAGGCACGAAAGCGUGGGGAUCAAACA
rnacentral:rRNA from 1 species